GAACGCGAAGAACCUUACCUGGGUUUGACAUGCACGAGACGCUGGUAGAGAUAUCAGUUCCCUUGUGGCCUGUGUGCAGGUGGUGCAUGGCUGUCGUCAGCUCGUGUCGUGAGAUGUUGGGUUAAGUCCCGCAACGAGCGCAACCCUUGUCCUAUGUUGCCAGCGGGUUAUGCCGGGGACUCGUAGAUGACUGCCGGGGUCAACUCGGAGGAAGGUGGGGAUGACGUCAAGUCAUCAUGCCCCUUAUGUCCAGAGCUUCACACAUGCUACAAUGGCCGGUACAAAGGGCUGCGAUGCCGUGAGGUGGAGCGAAUCCUUGUAAAGCCGGUCUCAGUUCGGAUCGGGGUCUGCAACUCGACCCCGUGAAGUCGGAGUCGCUAGUAAUCGCAGAUCAGCAACGCUGCGGUGAAUACGUUCCCGGGUCUUGUACACACC
rnacentral:rRNA from 1 species